GAUGAAGAACGUAGCGAAAUGCGAUACGUAAUGUGAAUUGCAGAAUUCCAGUGAGUCAUCGAAUCUUUGAACGCACAUUGCGCCCUUUGGUAUUCCGAAGGGCAUGCCUGUUCGAGCGUCAUUAUCACCCCUCAAGCCCUCGGCUUGGUGUUGGACGGUUUGGUGGAGGCCCCCUCGGGGGCUCCUGCCCCUCCCAAAGACAAUGACGGCGGCCUCGUUGGACCCCCGGUACACUGAGUUCUUCACGGGACACGUAUCGGACACAUGGGUUUACGGGACACGGUCUGCCUCCCCUCAGGGAGAAUCUUUCUAAGGUUGACCUCGGAUCAGGUAGGGAUACCCGCUGAACUUAAGCAUAUCAAUAAGCGGAGGA
rnacentral:misc_RNA from 1 species